AGGAGCCGGGCAGGAGGCAUGGCCUCUGAGAACAGCCCCUUACAGGCAUCACCCUGCCCAGUGCCCUGAGCACUUUUCCAAAAUGUGUCCAUCCUGAGAGGGAUGCCAGGAGGAUCCUCCUUCACAGUUGGGCUUGGCUCUGGACUCGGUGGCUAAGGCUGUGUUGGUCAACUUCGCCGCUGAGGGUGGUCCACGUGUGAUCCGUGCAUCGCUUUCCUGUGGAUGGAGAUUUGGGUCAUUUCCAGUUUGCAGCUAUUCCCAGUGAUGCUAUGAACAUUCUGGAACAUUUCUUUUGGCGGUCUUGGAGAGUUGUGGGGUCAGAGGUGUUUGUCCAGCUCUAGAGGACACUGCCCAACAGUUUUCCGGGGUGGCUGUGCCCUCGCUCCAGUGUGUCUGCGCCCACACUGCCUACGGCCUGUCACCGCCUGGCGCAGCACUUUCCUUAAGAAUGAAGUUACUGGCCAUUGUCAUCUUCUUUUUAAAUAUUUAUUUGGCUGCACCAGGCAGGUCUUUAGUUGCAGCAGUCAGGAUCUUCGUUGCAGCGUGUGGGAUCUAGUUCCCUGACCAGGGAUCGAACCCCUGGACCCCUGCAUUGGGAGCGCAGAGUCUUAACCGCUGGACCACCAAGGAAGUCCCCACUGGCAUCUUCCUUUGUGAAGAUGUGUGUCUCUUCAGUGCUUCUGCCUCUUUUCUAUGCCUUUUUCUUAUUGAUCUGUAGGAGUUUGUUACCCAUUCUGGGUAAAGAUUCUGUUUUGAAUAUUUGUACUAUGAAUAUCUCCCCCCCAUCUCAACUUUUCAAUCUCUUAACAGUGCCUUUUGAUGAACAGAAGUUUUAAAUUUUAACAUAGUCCAAAUUAUCAACAAUUUUCUUUAUCCUUAUCACUGUUUCUGUCUUUUUUUAUUAAUUAAUUAAUUAUUCUUGGCCGCGUUGGGUCUUUGUUGCUGCGCGCGGGCUUUUCUCUAGUUGUGGUGAGCGGGGGCUACUCUUCGUUGCGGUGCGCGGGCUUCUCAUUGCGGUGGCUUCUCUUGUUGCGGAGCACGGGCUCUAGAGCGCAGGCUCAGUAGUUGUGGCUCGUGGUCCCAGUUGCUCCAUGGCAUGUGGGAUCUUCCGGGACCAGGGCUCGAACCCGUGUGCUCUGCACUGGCAGGUGGAUUCUUAACCACUGAGCCACCAGGGAAGCCCUGCUUCUGUCUUUUUACAGAACUCUUUGCCUGCCCCAAAAAGUCAUGAAGAUUUCACCAUGUCCUUCCACGUUUUUAGAACUUCAUCGUUUUACCUUUCUCACUGGGACUACAACCCACAUGGUACUGAUUUUCGUGGAUGGUGGGUGAUGGGGGUACUGUCACACCUUUUUGUUUCUGUGUGGACACCAGUUGGCCCAGCGCCACAUCACGACUCCGUGGCGCACACGUGUGUGUCUGUCUGUCUACAGAGCCACAGCAGCAGAGCCCCCCCAUGGACUUCCCAGACAGAGGAAGCUUGGAGGGUUUGGGGCAGGGGCUUUUCUACAGUUGCCAUGGCUGCCCUGGAAGAAGGCAGUACAGGACCCGAGGGGAGGCUGUGGGGAGGGCGCGGUGUACCUGGUUCCUUCUGAAGAGCAGCUGUGGCUGGAGUUACCCGAGGCGUCCCCUCUCUCUCCUCGCCCCCCAAUCAUGGGCCUCCUCGUGGGAAGGGCUCUGGAGCACACGGGCAUCUGCGCGCUUCUGACCCAGCUCCGCGCUGGGGGCCUUAAGUCUCUGUGGAGGCCCAUGAGCGGGUGCAGACGGACGGGCUGGAGGAGCCGCCGGGGAGUGGCGUUGCCGGGCACGCGGCCUGCGGUACCGCCGGAAGCCACCAGCGGGCGAGCAGGCUCCACCGGAAGUUGGCAGAGCAGAGCCGUCGGCGCCUGGCUCUGCGAGGGCGGUGUGUUUGGGGGCGCCAGGGCCCCUUCCCGAAGCCACUUAGCCCGCUUUGAGCCCUUGACCCUGAGACAUAAGUCCUCAAAAAUAAGAGCCGACUUUCAACGAGCAGCUAUUACACGCCCGGCAGUCUUAAAUGCUUUACAUAGAUUACAGGGUUUUUACUUUUCAUUUUUUAAUAGUUUACUGAUGUAUAAUUUAAUAUGAUAAACUCCACAUAUUUAAAGUGUAAAGUUAGCUAAGUUUUGACAUGUGUAGUCACCCGGGAAGCCAUCACCACACUCCCAUCAUCCCAAGGGUUCCUGUGCCCUUUCUGACGCCGCCUUCUGCCCAGGCAGCCACGUGGGCCUUCCUUCCCUUCUGUCACUGCAGUUGGGUGGCACCGUCCAGAACUUCAUGUAGAUGGGAUCAUACAGUAGGCACUCGUUGGUAUAGUACAAAAGAGUGCAGUAUGACUGUCUUCUGUCACUGAGCAUAAUUAUUUUGAGAUUCGUCUAUGCCACUGUGUAUGCCAAUAGUUAUUUUUAUAAUUAAUAAGUAGUGUCCCAUUGUUGGACAUGCCAAGAUUUGUUUAUCCAUUCACCUGUUGAUGGACAUUUGGGGCUAUGUUAUAAAUAUUUGUGUUUAA